GGGGCUAUCAGUCCAACUCCUCAGUUAAUAGCCAGGGAAACAGAAGCCCAGGGAGAUAAAGACGGUGGCAGAGGAGGAAUUCUUUCUUAGCAGAUCUUCCAUUCCUAAUCCAGGAUCAUUUCCAGGGCUCCCAGGAGAAAUCUUUUGCCACAUUUGGAGAAAGGAUUGAAGAGAAAUGAGAGCCUGGAUGUGAAGAAAACAUUAGGAAGCUGCAGCAGUAACCUAUGUGAGAAAUUAAGAGAACCUAAAUCAGAUCCGUUGGCCAUCAAGAUUUCACUCAUUUUGAGACCUAGAGAUUGGUGCUCCUGGAGCUGUGAAAUGCGUGGCCUCUGUAGCCCUGUCAAGAGAAGCUAUGCUGUACCCUCAACACUCUGCCUAGAGAUUUCUUCCAUGAAAUAUCCUAGUUCACAUCUGCCUCCUGCAAACUACUAGGACAUGGACACUGCUCAGCCAAG
rnacentral:lncRNA from 1 species